rnacentral:rRNA from 1 species
ACUCAGGUGUUGUUGGGUAGGGGAGCGUUCUGUAAGCCUGCGAAGGUGGCCUGUGAGGGUUGCUGGAGGUAUCAGAAGUGCGAAUGCUGACAUAAGUAACGAUAAAGCGGGUGAAAAGCCCGCUCGCCGGAAGACCAAGGGUUCCUGUCCAACGUUAAUCGGGGCAGGGUGAGUCGACCCCUAAGGCGAGGCCGAAAGGCGUAGUCGAUGGGAAACGGGUUAAUAUUCCCGUACUUGGUGUUACUGCGAAGGGGGGACGGAGAAGGCUAUGUUGGCCGGGCGACGGUUGUCCCGGUUUAAGCGUGUAGGUGUGUGUUCCAGGUAAAUCCGGUUCACUUUAACACUGAGGCGUGAUGACGAGGCACUACGGUGCUGAAGCAACAAAUGCCCUGCUUCCAGGAAAAGCCUCUAAGCAUCAGGUAACAUCAAAUCGUACCCCAAACCGACACAGGUGGUCAGGUAGAGAAUACCAAGGCGCUUGAGAGAACUCGGGUGAAGGAACUAGGCAAAAUGGUGCCGUAACUUCGGGAGAAGGCACGCUGACAUGUAGGUGAAGUGAUUUACUCA